rnacentral:rRNA from 1 species
GACGAACGCUGGCGGCGUGCUUAACACAUGCGAGUCGAACGGAAAGGCCCUGCUUUUGUGGGGUGCUCGAGUGGCGAACGGGUGAGUAACACGUGAGUAACCUGCCCUUGACUUUGGGAUAACUUCAGGAAACUGGGGCUAAUACAGUAUAGGAUCUCCUGCUGCAUGGUGGGGGUUGGAUAGUUUCGGCGGGCGGGGAUGGACUCGCGGCUUAUCGGCUUGUUGGUGGGGUAGUGGCUUACCAAGGCUUUGACGGGUAGCCGGCCUGAGAGGGUGACCGGCCACAUUGGGACUACGAGACGGCCCAGACUCCUACGGGAGGCAGCAGUGGGGAAUAUUGCACAAUGGGCGGAAGCCUGAUGCAGCAACGCCGCGUGCGGGAUGACGGCCUUCGGGUUGUAAACCGCUUUCGCCUGUGACGAAGCGUGAGUGACGGUAAUGGGUAAAGAAGCACCGGCUAACUACGUG